rnacentral:lncRNA from 1 species
UUGCACUAAUUCCUGCACACACGGCAGGGCUUUUCAGAACACCCUUAGCAUUACUCAUCAUGGAACAUAGCAGAACAUCUCAUAUAAGAGAAGCUGUACCAAGAGAAUAAGAGGAAAGCUUGCAGGUUCAUUCAGGGGUAAGGGUAGUUACCUCCUUCAAGGAGAACUGGUCAAGAAAAGAGAGUCACCCAGGUUAUAAAACUACAAGCCAAAAGCCAUUACAGAUACCCAUACCUCCCUUUAACAGAAACAAGACAGACAAGAAUAGACCUUGUUCCUUUAUUGACCCAAAAGAAAACUUAUUAUUCCACUCAUUGUCCCUCAAAGCCACAGAGACUUCGAUGGAUAGCAAGUCUGGAGCAUUGCAGUUCUUAAGCACUUAAGCAGAAGAGGAGUUCAGCUUCUUCUGCUUCCUUCUGCGAAGG